CAAUUGCGGCCUUGGGAUUCCGUCCUUUUGCUCUUUGGAUGGGAUGAUGUUUUUCCUGGUUUUAGUUUAGUAUAUAAAGACAUUGUAGCUGACAUUCAAAUUAUAUUUUCUUAUCUCCUGCUGUGAGUAUUGAAAGUUAUCUGUCAAAAUGAACACUUUGUUCUUCGUCCUUCUCUUGGUCGCCAUGAUGGCUGUGGCUUUCGCCCAGUACGUCUACAGCCCAUACUAUUAUGGUGCCCAUUCUGCUGUAUACCCUUACGCCUACAACUACGCUUACAACCCUGCUGCUUAUUAUUGGAAGUGAGCCUUUGAAUAAUAUUGGUAUCGACUGGACCGGUAUUGGAUUUAUGGCAUGAUUUCGGAUUGAGUUGAUGUUUGAAUAAAUUCUCUACCUUUUCAUCUUCUAUUGUCGACUCUGAACUAUUCUUUGUCCCAAACCAAUCUUUCUACCUUUUAAAUGUUAAUAAAGUUUGAAAAAUGCACAAA
rnacentral:lncRNA from 1 species